UCAAAGAAUGUGUGACAGAGAAUCCACCCA
rnacentral:piRNA from 1 species